UACAGAGACUGCGAGCGUUAUUCGGAUUCACUGGGCGUAAAGGGUGCGCAGGCGGCCGAGUGUGUGAGGCGUGAAAGCCUGGGGCUUAACCCCAGAAUUGCACCUCAAACUACAUGGCUAGAGCAUUGGAGAGGGUAGCAGAAUUCAUGGUGUAGCAGUGAAAUGCGUAGAUAUCAGGAGGAACACCUGCGGUGUAGACGGCUUACUGGACCAUAACUGACGCUGAGGCACGAAAGCGUGGGUAGCAAACAGG
rnacentral:rRNA from 1 species